AACAAACGCUGGCGGCGUGCCUAACACAUGCAAGUCGUACGAGAAAGGGUCCUUCGGGGCCUGAGUAAAGUGGCGCACGGGUGAGUAACGCGUGGAUAAUCUGCCCUUCAGUUGGGAAUAACUCAUCGAAAGGUGGGCUAAUACCGAAUAAUGCUGUUAGACCUCGGUUGAUCAGCCAAAGAGAGCCUCUGCUUGCAAGCCCUCGCUGAAGGAUGAUGCCGCGUACCAUUAGCUAGUUGGUAGGGUACUGGCCUACCAAGGCGACGAUGGUUAGCUGGUCUGAGAGGAUGAUCAGCCACACUGGAACUGAGACACGGUCCAGACUCCUACGGGAGGCAGCAGUGAGGAAUCUUGCGCAAUGGGGGCAACCCUGACGCAGCAACGCCGCGUGAGUGAGGAAGGUCUUCGGAUCGUAAAGCUCUGUCGGAUGGAAAGAACCGCAUAGGGGUAAACAGCCCCUGUGUCUGACGGUACCAUCAAAGGAAGCACCGGCUAACUCCGUGCCAGCCGCCGCCGUAAGAC
rnacentral:rRNA from 1 species